UACGAAGGGGGCUAGCGUUGCUCGGAAUGACUGGGCGUAAAGGGCGCGUAGGCGGCUCAUACAGUCAGGCGUGAAAUUCCUGGGCUCAACCUGGGGACUGCGCUUGAGACGUGUGGGCUUGAGUGGGGAAGAGGGUCGUGGAAUUCCCAGUGUAGAGGUGAAAUUCGUAGAUAUUGGGAAGAACACCGGUGGCGAAGGCGGCGACCUGGUCCUUGACUGACGCUGAGGAGCGAAAGCGUGGGGAGCGAACAGG
rnacentral:rRNA from 1 species